CUCAUUUACUCACACAAAUGUUCUAAUGCAUUUAUCCAAAUACAUGGACUGGACAAACUCUGUUAGAUACAUUUUUGUGGAUGCAUAUGUUGUCAGUUGUACUUCGAGGUAUGUUCAUGCUUUGGGACAUGUGCUUCAUGUGAGGUGUAAAAGUUCACAUGGUGGUAAUGAACUGUUUGUUGGAUGCGUGACUCUGCACAUUCUAGUUGCACAGAAUAAUGUACAACUUUUUACAUCCUAUCCCAUAUUUGCACUCUCACUCACCUUUUCAAACACCAGUGAACUUAGACGGUGGAGCCAAGGCAAUCAAAGUGUCUUGCUAAAGGACACAACAUCAUGAAAUGGCUAGAACUGGGUUCUGCCACUGAACCCCUGCCCUAUCUUGAUAUUUUUUCCUGAUUCUCCCAGUUCCAAAAAUCCUUAUAAUCAGUUUUCUUUUACUCAGUACUAUAAUUGAACAUAUCCUAAAAAAGGCCUUCAUCACUUUUGUUUCUUCACACCUCUGAUUUCAAAGAUAUUGGAAUAACUGAGCUAAGCGCUCUCCUCUUGUGUCCUCUUCCUUUCUGGUAUUUUUUCAUCCACUGUCUGAUCUCGAUGAGGCCUCCUCUGUGUAGAAGCAUUCAGUGGUCACAUGUAGCUGUUGAAGGGCGGGGGCUAUACAAAUAUAAUUUGUGUUAACUUGUUUUUUUGGGUUUUUUUUCUGUAAUUCAUAAUGCUAGUCAUUUUUGUUUUUAAUGUGUGUGGUCAUUGAUGCCUAUUACUGAAUAUGUGCUUUUGAAUGCCUUGCUUCUUAUUACUACCUCUUGUCCCCAAAAGCAACGAGAUAAUUCUAAUGUCUGGGCAUACAUUGUGUCCUUUUAUAUAAUGUUUGAUUCAGUAAAACAGAGGCCCCAAUAACCAGGCUAUUCUGGGCUAACAAAGCGAUCGCAAAUCGUUCUAAUUCAGGACAGGGUGGUGCUAAUGUUAGAAAAGGGAAUUGGUGGCGAGGAGAAAGCGAUUGAAAUAGCAAAUCGGAGGGCUUCCCUGCAUUGCGGGAUCUCUCCUCCCUCCUCUCUCCCACACCCAGCAGCCCCAGUGGUACAGAUCAGAUGCUGCGCUGGGUGGCCGGACCGGAAGUGCUCCCCUCCCCCUGGCCGUGCAGCUUAUGUAAACGGAGAAGGAGAGAAAAAGAGAGGGUAGAGCUAUUUUUAACUAGGGCAGGCUACAGAAGGAACAAGAAUGAGCGAGUGUGUUAGCACAACUUGAGCAUUAUUGAUGGAGCUUGAUAUAAUUUUAAGUGAGAACCCACAAAUAGGUCUUUAUUGCAGCAUAGAUCAUGUUAUAAGAUGGUACAAAGGCCAUGGCUUUGUUGUCUGAUCAGGAGGAACACGCUGAGGCCUUCCUUACCCCGUUUCUGCUCUGUCAUGCUCUUCUCAAGUGCAUUUCUGUACAACUUUGAUUUCCUGGCAAUUUUCAAAACCACUUCCUUCAGCAGCAAUGUCACAUGCUAAGUGCAAAGAUGUCAUUUGUGUUUGAUUGCAUGUUGAUGUCUUAAGUUUGGUCUCUCAGUGUUGGUUAAUACUGCAGACAAUCAGUCAAAGCUGUGUUGUCUGGUCUGUCAGAUGUAUCUGAGAUGGUGGUUUCCACUAAGGCACUUUUUGAACCACUUAUUUGUUAUGAUUUUGAAUUUACAAAUAUACCUAUUUUGGAAAUGAUGAUAACCAAGAUUUUCUGCCACCAGACUAAAUAAUAUAACUAACUCUAGUAAAAACUAAAUCUUAAGGUACUGUCUGAAUUUAGAUGAACAAAAUACAAUAUUUGUCAUGUAGCUUCACUUACUAAAUUGUAUGUAAAAAGUUUAAGCAAUGACUUGCAAACUAUCAUGUCAGUGACUCAGAGAAGCAGAUUAGGUUGGACCUUUUCUUAACUCAGUCUGGAGUUUCUGGUUGUUCUUGUUUUUAGAUGAUUUUAUUAAUUGUGCUUACUGUUGAAUUCAGAGCAGGCCACUGUUAUUUAUACAUUUAAUAGUUGGGUACAGAGAUUAGUUGCAUUUUUAUUUAUUUAAUCUUAAAAAAAAAAAAUUAGAGAACCAAUGAUUACAGAUUAAAAUGCCGCUGAUAGAUCUUUUGUUGCUAACCCUAACCCUGGGAUUAAAUGUGUUUUUAAUCCAGUUUGACUUCUGUUUUUGCCUGGCAAAUCCAGAAUAUUUCUCUGUAUUAUUUAUACAGAUUGAUAUCAGUCUGGUCCCCACGCCCUCUGUCGUGUCUCUAGCCAGAACCAAACAUGAAUGUGCAAUCACAUUUGUUUACCUUAGUGACACAUGUGAAACGAAGGAGCUCACUGGUCACCCAUCAUCUUGAAUAAUAAAACAUUUCUCUUACCUCAGAUUAACUGAGUUUAGUGCUUUCACUUAUUCAUUUUGCUGAAUCUGCAAUGUUUCCUCUGUGAUCUCUUUCCCUUUUUUCUCCUAAACGGCAAUAUUUGUUUUGAUACAGAUGGACCAUGCUCGUCCCUGAUGGGCUAAUCCACCUGUCAAUCGUCCCUCAGGGCAACAUCUGUUUAGGUGUAGACGAGUCCCUGUUUUCUUCAAAAGAAAAAAAAAGUGUCACAUUAAUGGUCUGGCAAAGCACACAGUCAUUCACUUAAAAUGUAGCCCAUCAUUAGCAUUUACCUAAAACAAUGGUCUCAAACAAUUUAUGGUCUCAACUUACACCUUUAGAGUUUGGAUGACCAGACUCUUCUGCUUAAAAACUGCAUGUUAUGAACCCAUCAGCCCUCAUCUAAAGCAUCAGAUUUUAAAAAUCAAAUAUACAAAUUUAUUAAUGGGUCGGCUUCUCAUAAAAAUAUUUUUAGAUUAUCAGGUACUUUUCACAACUGUUACCUCCAUGUGCGAUUGUUAAUCAACACAAAAACCGUAAAUACUCUGAAGGACGCCCGGAGGAAUUUGUGAAAACACUGCACAUUGCUGACCAGUCGCAGAUGAUUAUGGAUUUGGAGACAAAAAACAAAGACCAUUCACAUGUUGUGCAUACAGCAUGGCUUUUUUCUUUUUGAGUUGUCUUGCAUGACUUGCUGGGUUACCUCAAGGAAAAACAUUUGAAGAUGAACAUUUGAAUAACUACUUUAUAGUUAUAACUAGGAGUGUGCUAAAAUAUCGAUACAUCGAUACAUAUCGAUAUUUUUCGAAUCAAUACAGUAUCGAUUCUUCAUUUUCUAGUAUCGAUAUUCCCCUCGAACGUUAGGGGGCAGUAUAGCCGCGCCUCCACGUCUUUACUGGAGAAGAGAAGCGCGUAAGAGAAGCGAAAAUAGAAAAAUGGCAGGAAAGAUUUUUCAACCACCUUCUACUUUAAAAGCAGACAUAUGGGCGCAUUAUGGUUUUAAAGCCCAAGAAAAGGGGCAGGGGAUGGACAAGACUAGCGCCAUUUGUAUGCAUUGCCAAACUGCUAUCAAAUAUUCAGGUAAUACGACCAACCUCCGAGUUCACAUGCAGCGCCACCACCCAGAUAAGCUAGCCUUGCCGCCCCCAAAGAAAAGCAUGGACCCAAAACAACCCACUUUGGAUAGCCAAAUAAGUAAACUAGCCUCCAACUCUCCGCGUGCACUUAAGAUCACAGACACUAUCGUGCAUUAUAUCUGCCAAGGUCUGUGCCCGUACAGUGUUGUGGAGAACCCAGGCUUUCACCUCAUGGUAAACACAUUAGAUCAGCGUUAUGUGAUUCCCACACGUAAACAUUUAACGGAGGUGGCGGUCCCGCGAAUGUACCAUAGGGUGAAAGACGCAGUUAAAACCAGUCUAAGUGCAGCUCUGAGAGUGGCCCUUACCUGUGAUGGGUGGACCUCCCGUGCCACGGAAUCGUAUGUAACAGUUACGAGCCAUUUUGUCAACGAACACUGGGAGCUAAUUUCACAUGUUUUACAAACUAGAGCCAUGCAUGAAAGUCACACCGGGACCAACAUUGCGGAGCUAUUCAGCGCAGCUCUUGAGGAAUGGGACAUCACUUGCAAAGACCCGGCUAUUGUGACAGACAACGCCGCUAAUAUGAGCGUCGUGGUGGAGCUCACGGGGAUGUUACAUUUCAAGUGCUUUGCCCACACGUUGAACCUGGCGUCGCAGCGCGCUUUGAAACUACCUGUAGUCACGCGUCUGUUGGGUCGCGUGAGACGCAUUUCGAAUUUUUUCAGACGCAGCACCACAGCCAGCCACGUACUCCGCCAGAAGCAAAAGCUGCUGCGGUUACUGGAGCACAAACUGAUAGUUGACGUUGUGGCCAGGUGGAACAGUGCGCACGACAUGCUUCAACGAUUUCUUGAGCAGCAGCCAGCGAUAUCUGCUGCUCUGCUGUCAAGUGAGGUGAGAAAGACAGAGAAAGAAGUGUGCACCCUCAGUGAGUCAGAUAUAACAGCUGCAGAGGACAUUGUGGAUGCCAUGAAGCCCAUGAAGGUAGCUACACUAGUGAUGUCCAAGGAAAAUACACCAACACUAUCAGUUGUUGCACCACUUCAUGCUCAGCUCAUCCAUGAUUUGCAAGAGAGUCCAUCUGAUUCCACUUUGGUGAAAGAAAUCAAAGCAGCCAUUUGUGAGGAUCUGAGCAAGAGGUACAAGGAUGAACAGAAAGAGACUAUGUAUUUAUGCUCAGCACUGGAUCCACGAUUCAAGGCUUUGCCCUUCCUUCCUGAUGAUCAACGAGAUGAAAUCUACAUGAGAGUCAUUGCAGAGGCUGGAAGAAUUCAUGAUUCAUUUGAGGAAGAGGCUGAACUUAAGACCGUGACUGAGGAGAUGCCUGUGGAGGAGGACGAUUCUGAAGAAGUUAAGGAGGACAACUGUGCUGCUGGUCCACCACCACCCAAACGAACAAAGGACAUGUGCAGUUUGGCUGACCUACUUGGUCCAACCUACAGCGCAGCUUUUUAGACCGAAUUGAUGUGGUCAGGCAACAUGACUACACACCCACUGACCAGGACCUGUUGAGAUGCAGAGUGCUGACAUCUGGGAUAUUUGAGACGAGAUUUCAAAUAGACAAAGUCAAUUUUCAUAUGUUUGAUGUUGGGGGUC